rnacentral:ribozyme from 1 species
AAUUACAAUGACGCUGUUGUUGAAGUUUUGCUUGGAAAAUGAAAUGCAACUUUGCGUUUUUUUUUGUUUUUGUUUUUUUGUUUGUUUUUUUGUUUGAAACAAAGGGAAAAAAAAAAAGAAAAAAAAAGAAAAA